UACGUAGGUGGCAAGCGUUAUCCGGAUUUAUUGGGCGUAAAGGGAACGCAGGCGGUCUUUCAAGUCUGAUGUGAAAGCCUUCGGCUUAACCGGAGUAGUGCAUUGGAAACUGGGAGACUUGAGUGCAGAAGAGGAGAGUGGAACUCCAUGUGUAGCGGUGAAAUGCGUAGAUAUAUGGAAGAACACCAGUGGCGAAAGCGGCUCUCUGGUCUGUAACUGACGCUGAGGUUCGAAAGCGUGGGUAGCAAACAGG
rnacentral:rRNA from 1 species